UACGUAGGCAGCAAGCGUUGUUCGGAGUUACUGGGCGUAAAGGGUGUGUAGGCGGUUGGAUAAGUGUGGUGUGAAAUCUCCCGGCUCAACUGGGAGGGUGCGCUACAAACUGUCUGACUAGAGUGUGGGAUGGGUAAGUGGAAUUCCUGGUGUAGCGGUGAAAUGCGUAGAUAUCAGGAGGAACACCGGUGGUGUAGACGGCUUACUGGACCAUAACUGAC
rnacentral:rRNA from 1 species